rnacentral:lncRNA from 1 species
UCAAAGGCAUAUUCAAUCACUUUCACCAGGCUAUAUUUAGAAGUAAGAAUGUCCCAGUAUAUUGUAUGUCAUUGUAGGUAUAUUUUAGAGAGAAUUUUGAUCAUAGCUACAAAUCAAAUGCAUUUCUUGUAAACUUGUAAUGAGAAAAUUCCAUCUACCAGAUUAGAUUCUGAUGAGCAAUGUUUCAUUGCACUUUCACUAAUAAUCUGUGUGCACUUAGGCAAGUCACUUCACGUCUCUAAUCCACAAUAUUUCGGACAAAUGAAAGGUAAGCGAGGAGACAAUGUCUAAGAUGCUUUUUUUUUAAACUCUAAAAUCUAUUCUAUCUCUAUAAAUUCCAAUUCUAUUCUAUCUGUAGAAUUUAAAUUCAAGGCCUCUACUUCCUCUUUCUCCUAUUUGAAAGAUCCUUCCAGUUAUUUUUAUUCUGAUUCUUACUCCCAAAUUCUCUCUGCCCCCUAUGGUUUCUCCAUUACCAGCAGAUACUAUUACAUGCUUUCAUGGACAGUGAUUGGUGAAGGAAAUAUUGAUUGCACUUCUCUUUUGCUGCUUUCAGAGACAUAUCUUGGGUGGUUUUAUCACCCUCAUGAACCUUGUCUAGAGAAUGGGUGUAGAGGUUUGAAGAUAGAGGUGCAGAUAAGUAAAACCUGAGUUGGUUUCCUAACACAGGGCUUACAUUUUCCAUCAAUUCAGUCAAUUAAAUACCUAGCAAAUAUAUGAUAGACUAGACAUAGUUCUUGGCCUUAAGAAAUGUAUACACUCUACAAAAAAAGUUGGUGCUGAUUUGGAGUUCCCAUUGUGGAUCAGCAGGUUAAGGACUCGACAUAGUCUCCUUCAGGAUAUGGGUUUGAUCCCUGGCCUUGCUCAGUGGAUUAAGGAGCUGACAUUGCUGCAAGCUGUGGUAUAGGUCACAGAGGUGGCUUGAAUCCAGUAUUGCUGUGGCUAUGGCAUAGGUCGGCAGCUGCAGCUUCGAUUUAACCCCAUAGCCUGGGAACUUCCAUGUGCCACAGGUGUGGUGGCCAUAUAAAGAAAAAAAAAGUAAUUGUGUUAGAAGUUAGAAGUGCAUGGAAGGAAGAUUUGGGUUUGGCUUAGUCAGCAGAAUCUAAUGGAGGAAAUUUGAUUUACAGAGUGUAUUUAAGGAAGAAUAAUAUGUGUGAUUCUUUGAUGCAUAACUCAUUCAACAAAACACUUACUUAGUGGCUAUGAUGCAUCUUCUCUAAAUGCUGGGAAUACAGCAGUGGGCAAAAUGGGAAAAAACUUUGUCCAUACAGAGCUUUCCUUCUGAUAGAGGUGUGUAAGAGAAAAUAAGUUAAAAAAAUAUAUAUACUACAUCAAAUGAUGAUAAGAACUAUAGAAUUAAAAGGAUACUUUGGUUGGUAAAUUAGGUAUUGAGAAUGAUCUAAGAAGUGAUAUAAUCAGACCAUUCCAGGCUAACAUUUGUCCUAUAUGUUUAGAGGGGUUAAGUAACAUAGCUAAGGUCACCCAGCUUAUUAGCAAGAAAGGAAUAAAACCCAGGCUUAUCAGCUCCUACUCUAGUGUUCUUUUUACUCUUUACAAUCAUGCACACACCUUCUAGAUGGUCAAAUCAUACAGUUCAAGAGGUGGGAGUAAAGAGCUUGUGUGGAACCCAAGGAGGCAGAUACUUUGUGUUGGGGGAAAGUGGAAGAUAUGAUUAAAUGGGAAGGAAAUGCCAAAUCUGGAAAGGCAGACAGUGAAGUUCAGCUUUGAUAUGGUGAUAAGAAAUGAAUAAAAUGAUCUUUAGAAAAGUUUGACAACAUUUAGUUGAUUAUUAAUUUGCCAGAUUAAAAAAUGCUUCUCUGGUGUGACUGCCCUCUUCUCCCUUUCCUUCUCUCCAUCAUAGUUCCCUGAAAAAUAAUUCCUUUGUCUAAUGCUAUUUACCAUCAGGUGGAGCAGUUAUAUGUUUCAAGAAUAUCAAAGACACUGGCUAUGGUUUAUUUCAAAACUAGAAAGAAGGCAUUUUGGGUAAACACAAAUAUUUUACUGCAGCUCCACAUUUAGGGAUUAAACUGCUGGUGAAAUGAAUGUAGAAUGAGAACUAAAUCUAGACAUUAGAUUUGGAUAAAGUGAGCAAGUUGAAUCAGAUGUAAAUUAAGAGAUGUGGCUACUCAUACUUGCAUCAUAAAUUGGGAGCUAAGUACUAAAUUUCCUUCAGAAGCUAAUACAUAAAUUAUAAACCAGAUCAUACAUUUCCUUAAGUGCAGCAGUCAUUGUUGCUGAUUCAUUUUCAAAUUUCCAAUAAUUAAGAGAGAAAGAGAGAGUAUGAGUGAGAGAAACCACCAACAAAAUGUACAAAUGAGGGUUUAUUUGCAUAUAUGAAGACUCUGUAACAGCAAUGUAAGUGCAGAAAUAGCUUUAGUUUUCACUUUUCUUUGAGAAAGAACAGGAACUUCAAGUAGGAAGAAAAUACAUGCAUUAAAAUACUUAUCACAGGUUCAACAAUCAGAAAAUUAUCAAAUAGGGCAAAUAAACCUUAUGGUUAUAGCUGCUGAUAACAUGUUAGAUAUGGUGCUUACUUUGGCCUAAAUCUAGUGCAGGUCUUAUUUUGGAUGUGAUGGGUAUUUUGGAAAGGCUCCAAGGUCUUUUGUAUAAGGUUAUAGACAGGGAAUUUUGAGCCUUUAUUAUAUGGGGGUCAUAGUACAUUCAAGGAUCUAACUAUGCAUUUUGGGGGCCAAGCAAUUUUUAGAAAAUGUUCUAAGCCCGUGGAUCUGUAAGUCCAAAAAGAUAUUCAGUCCAGUACAUAGGCUACUUAGGUUUUCCUGCUCUAUGAUUAGGGUAGGGGUGGGAGUAUUAGCUCUAAUACUUGUAGGUCAUCGACUAUUGAAGUUUUUCCACCGAAAGACCAGAAUUACUGGCAUAAUUAAUGUGAAGCAACUGUUACCCAAGAGGGUCCCUCCUACACAUUCACUUUAUUUCAGGCUUCUGGCUGUCUUGGGGUUAAUGAUUCAUAAAACAAAAAGACUGUCAGCAGUAGGAAAAAUAUGUCACUGAAAUUAAGCACGGUAUUGGAGGUCAAAGGAGGAGUUACCCUCAGGCCUUCAUGCAAAGCAAUGUAUAGACACUCAGUCAUAAGUAUAGAAAGGUUCAGGCACAAGAUAGAUGGUCAUUACCUAUUUUACUUCCUUUCAGUAUUCAUGCCAAAUGUUUAUAUCUGAGAUAAUCGAAUGUAUAUGGGAGGAAAAGUUUAAAUAGCUUGAAAACUCUUUUAGGUAACUAUAUGAUGCUACAUAGCUCUCCUGCUGGCUCACAAUAAUGGUUCUGAGUGGUCCAGAAAUUAUUUCAGGAGUUCCUGUCAUGGCUCGGCAGUUAAUGAACCUGACUAGCAUCCAUGAGGACACGGGUUCGAUCCCUGGCCUCUCUCAGUGAGUUAAGGAUCUGGCAUUGCCGUGAGCCAUGGUGUAGGUUGCAGACGUGGCUUGGAUCCCAAGCUGCUGUGGCUUUGUUGUGGCCAGCGGCUACAGCUCCAAUUGGAUCCCUAGCCUGGAAACCUCCAUAUGCUGUGGGUGCAGCCCU